CUCUACUUAAGCAGUCUUCAGAGCAGUGACAAGCAUUGUCAUCAUUCCUGGUUUCUCCACAGCGGUCUUUGGUACAUUCCCAGCCUCGAGCUGUCUUUAAGCACAGCUCAUCAAAGUCGAAGCAGCAGCUGUUGUAGCUCUUGCACAGGUUGUCACAGCGGCAGCCAGGAGGCUCUGCCUCUUGAAGUUCAAAGCAUCUGUUUUUGCAGGAGCCAGAGGUACUGAUCCAGGGGGAAUCUG
rnacentral:lncRNA from 1 species